rnacentral:tRNA from 1 species
UCUCGAUUGGUCUAGUGGUCAGGAUACCUGCUUGUCAUUCGUUUAAGAACAAGUCGCAGGUGGCCGGGGUUCGAUUCCCCGAUCGAGAG